GGCGUUGUAGCAAAGUGGUUACUGCGAUUGACUAGAAUCACCUCAUGGCAUUGCUAUCAAUUCCCUUCGGGGGCGUAGGUUCGAAUCCUGCCAACGUCG
rnacentral:tRNA from 1 species